rnacentral:rRNA from 1 species
CCUACGGGCGGCUGCAGUGAGGAAUAUUGGUCAAUGGACGGAAGUCUGAACCAGCCAUGCCGCGUGCAGGAAGACGGCUCUAUGAGUUGUAAACUGCUUUUGUACAAGGGUAAACCUGAAUACGUGUAUUCAGCUGAAAGUACUGUACGAAUAAGGAUCGGCUAACUCCGUGCCAGCAGCCGCGGUAAUACGGAGGAUCCAAGCGUUAUCCGGAUUUAUUGGGUUUAAAGGGUGCGUAGGCGGAUUGAUAAGUUAGAGGGGAAAUGUCCGAGCUUAACUCGGGAACUGCCUCUAAUACUGUUGAUCUAGAGAGUAGAUGCGGUAGGCGGAAUGUAUGGUGUAGCGGUGAAAUGCUUAGAGAUCAUACAGAACACCGAUUGCGAAGGCAGCUUACCAAUCUAUAUCUGACGUUGAGGCACGAAAGCGUGGGGAGCAAACAGUAUUAGAUACCCCUGUAGUC